UACGUAGGGGGCAAGCGUUGUCCGGAAUCAUUGGGCGUAAAGAGCGUGUAGGCGGUCCGGUAAGUCCGCUGUAAAAGUCAAGGGCUCAACCCUUGAAAGCCGGUGGAUACUGCCGGGCUAGAGUCCGGAAGAGGCGAGUGGAACUCCUGGUGUAGCGGUGAAAUGCGCAGAUAUCAGGAAGAAUACCUACGGCGAAGGCAGCUCGCUGGGACGGUACUGACGCUGAGACGCGAAAGCGUGGGGAGCAAACAGG
rnacentral:rRNA from 1 species